rnacentral:rRNA from 1 species
GACAGAGGGGGCAAGCGUUGCUCGGAAUUACUGGGCGUAAAGGGCGCGUAGGCGGGCUGGCAAGUCGGUCGUGAAAUCCCUCGGCUCAACCGAGGAACGUCGAUCGAUACUGCUGUUCUUGAGGAUUGCAGAGGAGACUGGAAUUCCCGGUGUAGCGGUGAAAUGUGUAGAGAUCGGGAGGAACACCGGUGGCGAAGGCGGGUUGCUGGGCUGAUACUGACGCUGAGGCGCGAAAGCCAGGGGAGCGAACGGG